rnacentral:misc_RNA from 1 species
GAAAAGCUUUUAUCAGAAACAUAAAUCAACAAAGACGCAAUUCAUUUUUUCCCACUUAAUCUACAUCACCACAACCCCAAAAGCCCCCUUUUAAACAAAAUAAAAAAGACCCACCCCCAAUUAAUCGAAACCCGAGGCCCCCAAAAUCCCUCAUCACCAGAUCUCACUAGAUCAAUUCAAAUAGGUACACAAACAUACAUGAAAACAAAGAAG